rnacentral:rRNA from 1 species
AUUGAACGCUGGCGGCAUGCCUUACACAUGCAAGUCGAACGGCAGCGGGGGAGAAGCUGCUUUUCCUGCCGGCGAGUGGCGAACGGGUGAGUAAUACAUCGGAACGUGCCCUGUAGUGGGGGAUAACUAGUCGAAAGAUUAGCUAAUACCGCAUACGACCUGAGGGUGAAAGUGGGGGACCGCAAGGCCUCAUGCUAUAGGAGCGGCCGAUGUCUGAUUAGCUAGUUGGUGGGGUAAAGGCCUACCAAGGCGACGAUCAGUAGCUGGUCUGAGAGGACGAUCAGCCACCCUGGGACUGAGACACGGCCCAGACUCCUACGGGAGGCAGCAGUGGGGAAUUUUGGACAAUGGGCGAAAGCCUGAUCCAGCAAUGCCGCGUGUGUGAAGAAGGCCUUCGGGUUGUAAAGCACUUUUGUCCGGAAAGAAAUGGCUCUGGUUAAUACCUGGGGUCGAUGACGGUACCGGAAGAAUAAGGACCGGCUAACUACGUGCCAGCAGCCGCGGUAA